rnacentral:lncRNA from 1 species
GCCAAGACAUACUGCUCUCGUUGAAAUGAUCUACUGCUUCCUUUCUGUUUCCACAGGGCUUGCUACACUGCUCUCACUUCUCUUCAGCGUGGCUGCUGUUCUUCACUUCUCCCUGAGACAUUAUUGAAGAGAAAUAAGAGAUUAGAGGAAGAAAUUGAAUUUAGAUCAGAGGCAAUUGUG